CGAUUGAACGCUGGCGGCAUGCCUUACACAUGCAAGUCGAACGGUAACGGGUCCUUCGGGAUGCCGACGAGUGGCGAACGGGUGAGUAAUAUAUCGGAACGUGCCCAGUAGUGGGGGAUAACUGCUCGAAAGAGCAGCUAAUACCGCAUACGACCUGAGGGUGAAAGGGGGGGAUCGCAAGACCUCUCGCUAUUGGAGCGGCCGAUAUCAGAUUAGCUAGUUGGUGGGGUAAAAGCUCACCAAGGCGACGAUCUGUAGCGGGUCUGAGAGGAUGAUCCGCCACACUGGAACUGAGACACGGUCCAGACUCCUACGGGAGGCAGCAGUGGGGAAUUUUGGACAAUGGGGGCAACCCUGAUCCAGCCAUGCCGCGUGAGUGAAGAAGGCCUUCGGGUUGUAAAGCUCUUUCAGCCGGGAAGAAAACGCAUUGGUUAAUACCUGAUGUGGAUGACGGUACCGGAAUAAGAAGCACCGGCUAACUACGUG
rnacentral:rRNA from 1 species